rnacentral:rRNA from 1 species
GGUGCGUAACACGUGGGAAUCUGCCCUUAGGUACGGAAUAACUCAGGGAAACUUGAGCUAAUACCGUAUGAUGUCUUCGGACCAAAGAUUUAUCGCCUAGGGAUGAGCCCGCGUCGGAUUAGCUAGUUGGUGGGGUAAAGGCCUACCAAGGCGACGAUGGUUAGCUGGUCUGAGAGGAUGAUCAGCCACACUGGAACUGAGACACGGUCCAGACUCCUACGGGAGGCAGCAGUGAGGAAUAUUGCGCAAUGCCCGAAAGGGUGACGCAGCGACGCCGCGUGGAGGAUGAAGGCCCUCUGGGUCGUAAACUCCUGUUGAGAGGGAAGAACGGAGCGCUAUAGGCGCUCGUGACGGUACCUCUAGAGAAAGCACCGGCUAACUACGUGCCAGCAGCCGCGGUAAUACGUAGGGUGCUAGCGUUGUCCGGAUUCACUGGGUGUAAAGGGAGCGCAGGCGGGUCUUCAAGUCGUUGGUGAAAUUCUCAGGCUCAACCUGGGGACUGCCAAUGAUACUGGAGAUCUUGAGUGCAGAAGAGGAAGACGGAAUUCCUGGUGUAGCGGUGAAAUGCGUAGAUAUCAGGAAGAACACCGGUGGCGAAGGCGGUCUUCUGGUCUGCAACUGACGCUCAUGCUCGAAAGCGUGGGUAGCAAACAGGAUUAGAUACCCUGGUAGUCCACGCCCUAAACGAUGGAUACUCGAUGUCAGGCCGCAAGGCUCGGUGUCCAAGUUAACGCAUUAAGUAUCCCACCUGGGGAGUACGAUCGCAAGGUU